CCUACGGGUGGCAGCAGUAGGGAAUCAUCCGCAAUGGGCGAAAGCCUGACGGUGCAACGCCGCGUGAGUGAGGAAGGUUUUCGGAUCGUAAAACUCUGUUGUUAGGGAAGAACAAGUACCGUUCGAAUAGGUCGGUACCUUGACGGUACCUAACCAGAAAGCCACGGCUAACUACGUGCCAGCAGCCGCGGUAAUACGUAGGUGGCAAGCGUUGUCCGGAAUUAUUGGGCGUAAAGCGCGCGCAGGCGGUCUCUUAAGUCUGAUGUGAAAGCCCACGGCUCAACCGUGGAGGGUCAUUGGAAACUGGGG
rnacentral:rRNA from 1 species